CCUACGGGAGGCAGCAGUGAGGAAUAUUGGUCAAUGGGCGCGAGCCUGAACCAGCCAAGUAGCGUGAGGGAAGACGGCCCUACGGGUUGUAAACCUCUUUUGCCGGGGAGCAACGGGCGCCACGUGUGGCGCCACUGAGAGUAACCGGAGAAAAAGCAUCGGCUAACUCCGUGCCAGCAGCCGCGGUAAUUCGGAGGAUGCGAGCUUUAUCCGGAUUUAUUGGGUUUAAAGGGUGCGUAGGCGGAGCGUAAAUGCAGUGGUAAAAUUGAGGGGCUCAACCCCUUCCCGCCAUUGAAACUGGCGCUCUUGAGUGGAAGAGAAGUAUGCGGAAUGCGUGGUGUAGCGGUGAAAUGCAUAGAUAUCACGCAGAACCCCGAUUGCGAAGGCAGCAUGCCGGCUUCCUACUGACGCUGAAGCACGAAAGCGUGGGGAUCGAACAGGAUUAGAUACCCGAGUAGUC
rnacentral:rRNA from 1 species